UAACAGCCUUCCUAAAUAGUUCAGACGAAGUUUAGACAGCACGCACGCACAGGUGUCAGUAACAGCGCUCCUAACGAAAUGGCGGAAAAUGCGGAAGAAGCUCUGUUGCUUGCUGCCAUGAACGGAUCACUUUAAGGCGUUGAGGCGGCUUUGAAAGCUGGUGCAGACAUUGACGUGUAUGACUUCUGUAAGCCCAAGGACUCUUUAUUUAACCUCCUGAAACCUGGUGAGCCUGACAGCGAAGAUGAAGACCAUCCAGACAUACCGGCAAUGCCAGCAUUGCACAUAGCUUGCCUCUUGGGACAUGUUG